rnacentral:lncRNA from 1 species
CGGAGAACUCCGUGUGAACCGAAGAAUCUUCAAAUUCCUGGGAAGGAGAGUAGAUGAUACAAAAUAUCAUGACAAAGUACAAAGCUUUCCCAGUUCAUAACCCCUUAAAACCAACGGAGGUUUUUAUACGUUGAUGGAACUAAAUACCAACAAAAAAACAUUUUUCCCUAAACAGUAAAACUGUGUUCCUGAGCUAUUCCCUCGCCCUCCCCCCCCCCAAAAAAAAACAAAAACAGAACUCAACAAGACAAAAUCACCUCUGAAAUUCAAACAAACCUAAUCCAGCUUAAGCACGAAAUCAAAAAGGUAUAUUAAAAUCAUAUGCAUUCUAAACAAAAGAUGCAGUCAAAAAAAAAAAAAUCGUUCAAAAAGUGAACCAAAGAAUCUUCAAAUUCCUGGGAAGGAGAGUAGAUGAUACAAAAUAUCAUGACAAAGUACAAAGCUUUCCCAGUUCAUAACCCCUUAAAACCAACGGAGGUUUUUAUACGUUGAUGGAACUAAAUACCAACAAAAAAACAUUUUUCCCUAAACAGUAAAACUGUGUUCCUGAGCUAUUCCCUC